GUGUCCACCACCCUCAUCCGGCCACCUCGGCUUCAGCCUGCAAAAAUGCCGUGAUAUUCAAGAUUUCUCCCAGAUGCAAGAUGCCACAUUUUGGAACUCGGGCUGCUUUUGGAGUGCCAAAUGUCUCCCACAAUCUGACAUCAGGAACAUGGCCAGAUGCAAGAUGCCACAUUUUGGAACUCGGGCUGCUUUUGGAGUGCCAAAUGUCUCCCACAAUCUGACACCAGGAACAUGGCCAGAUGCAAGAUGCCACAUUUUGGAACUCGGGCUGCUUUUGGAGUGCCAAAUGUCUCCCACAAUC